rnacentral:rRNA from 1 species
UACGAAGGGGGUUAGCGGUUCUCGGAAUCACUGGGAGUAAAGCGCACGUAGGCGGAUUGCUAAGUCAGGGGUGAAAUCCUGGAGCUCAACUCCAGAACUGCCCUUGAUACUGGCGACCUUGAGUCCGGGAGAGGUGAGUGGAACUGCGAGUGUAGAGGUGAAAUUCGUAGAUAUUCGCAAGAACACCAGUGGCGAAGGCGGCUCACUGGCCCGGUACUGACGCUGAGGUGCGAAAGCGUGGGGAGCAAACAGG